rnacentral:tRNA from 3 species
GGCCCGUUCGUCUAGAGGCCUAGGACGCUGGCCUCUCACGCCGGUAACACGGGUUCGAAUCCCGUACGGGCUACCA